rnacentral:rRNA from 1 species
CAGACGGGUGAGUAACGCGUGGGAACGUACCUUUUGGUUACGGAACAACACAGGGUAAACUUGUGCUAAUACCGGAUAAGCCCUUACGGGGAAAGAUUUAUCGCCGAAAGAUCGGCCCGCGUCUGAUUAGCUAGUUGGUGAGGUAACGGCUCACCAAGGCGACGAUCAGUAGCUGGUCUGAGAGGAUGAUCAGCCACAUUGGGACUGAGACACGGCCCAAACUCCUACGGGAGGCAGCAGUGGGGAAUAUUGGACAAUGGGGGCAACCCUGAUCCAGCCAUGCCGCGUGAGUGAUGAAGGCCCUAGGGUUGUAAAGCUCUUUUGUGCGGGAAGAUAAUGACGGUACCGCAAGAAUAAGCCCCGGCUAACUUCGUGCCAGCAGCCGCGGUAAUACGAAGGGGGCUAGCGUUGCUCGGAAUCACUGGGCGUAAAGGGUGCGUAGGCGGGUCUUUAAGUCAGGGGUGAAAUCCUGGAGCUCAACUCCAGAACUGCCUUUGAUACUGAAGAUCUUGAGUUCGGGAGAGGUGAGUGGAACUGCGAGUGUAGAGGUGAAAUUCGUAGAUAUUCGCAAGAACACCAGUGGCGAAGGCGGCUCACUGGCCCGAUACUGACGCUGAGGCACGAA